GCUCAAAUCCAGCUCGUUCUUUUAUUUUUGGAUUACUGCAAACAAAGAUGAUAAUCUACUUGCUCUAGAUUUUCUCACCUUUCUUUAAAAAUUGAAUCUCAGAAAACAGGAGCAAAAUGAAAUGUCGGAAUAAUUCUGUGGAGGUUGUCGGAAGUCAGUUGUGAUAUGUAAUGGAAGUCUAGUAUCAUAUAUUGUCCUUCAUACAUGACGUACAAUGUAUAUCAAGCUAUUAACUUUAAUACAUAUAUUUUAUUUAUAGAAAUAUAUCUGAGACGUUGUGGAUAUUUAUGGAGCGAUUGUGAGUUCUUUUUGUGUAGGUUUUACAUCAGUGUAUGUGUCGCCAGGCUUUCUUCAGUUCCAGGAAAGAUGGAAAGCAAUACCAGUCAUAACCAUACUCAAUAUCCUCUGUUUAUUGGGAUCAGUAUUUAUUUACUCGACAAUUACCGAUUUUUUAUUGUACCAAAACGUUGAUGAUGUACACCAGUAUUUGAUGACAUGUCUGCACCCUAUUUCCAAAUAGUCUCUGCCUAUUCUCAGUAUAUGUGCCUUUAUUAAAGAAAACAUUUACUUCUCUGAUGAGGUUGUACACUUACCGGUAGUUGCUUUCAAUUUUUAUUUUCUGCUUUUCUGAAAUUUAAGGAAUACUGACUGUAGAAUUUUUGUUAGGUUGUGACAUGAAAAGUGAUUUAUCAAUAUUAUAUACCAGAUGUAUGUGUAUAGCAAAGGAAAAAGGAAAGAGCAUGUUGUAACCAUUGAUAAGAGAGUUCAGCUCCGACCAAGCUUCCCAUCCCUCCAGCCCAGUGUUGGCUGUCACAGUCACUGGCUGCCUCUGUGUUUACGUGCAAUAUAAACAGACGUGUGUCGGCAUUAUUCAUCACUGGGGGGCUGUAUUGCCCCUGCAGUGUGUUCACUUUCUCCAUCCUACAUCUGUUUUUGCCCAGGGACACCAGUCCGGAUGGAACCAUGCAGUGUUUCUCUGGGGACCACAUCGACAUCUGUUUAUGCCUGGGAGACACUGGUCAGGAUUGAACCAUGCAGUGUUUCUCUGGGGAUCACUGGUCUUCUCUCGCAGUGCUUGUACAACUCAAACACUCUUAAUAUUGGAUAAAAAAUUGUACCACUUGUAACAAUUUGGUUUAAAAAAAAGGUCUCAGCAAAAAGCAAUUUGUGUAUCUUCAAGAAAUUGUGUUGUUUCAUCGUCCAGUGACAAAAUUUCAAUUGUUUCAAGUCUCGCGAUGUCUUGCCGCCGUGUGGCGCCGAAUACUCGACAGUUCAAUUCAUGCUUACUAAUCACGCCUAGUCCCGCCAUUCAUUGGAGAGCAGGGGAGUGAGUCCGACCGUGUGUGUGUGUCUGUCUGUGUGUGCAACUCAUUGUUAGGUUCCUUGUGUAUGUAUUAGUGAACAGAAGUCACAGAAUUAAAGAAUCAGAAUCUUG
rnacentral:misc_RNA from 1 species